ensembl:antisense
AAUCUCAAGGAAGCUCUUUGGGAGCCAGGAUUCCCAGCACUUAGCUGGUGGGCAAAGGGGCUCAACCCCUUCCCCACAUCCCACCUUCCCUCCUCCCAGUCUUCGGGAUUGCGGAGCUCCUGCCGGGAUCCAAGAGCAGGCUCUUGGAGGUCGAAGAAGGAUAUAACCUCCAGACCUGGAAUUUAAGACGCAAGAACCAGCCAGCAAAAGUGGCAGCUGAGCAUGCGAAUGAAGAUGUAGAAGUCUCAGCUCCUUCAAUGCUAUGUCUGCCAAGAUGCUGCCACACUCCCUUCUUGAUGAUAAUGGACUGAACCUCUGAACCUGGACGAGAAACUACAGCAUUACUUCUGCAGAUUCACAAAGGAGUCCACGUUCCAAGAUGAGAGAAAUACCAGAAGCCGAUGGCUAUUCUACUUGACUGAAUGAAAAGAAAAGGAAGGCACUUCCUGUCAAUCCUGCUUUGGAUUCCUAGACAGUUUAAGAAGCACCAUUGAUCUGAUCAUUGUCACUGAGGAGGAAAUGCCCAUCCGCAGAAGACAUGCAGGGCUCAACCCAGCUUGACAUGGGCAAAUGAAAAUUGGAUGGAGUUAUGGCGGGACACUCUUACUGGACACUGAAACCAUCCUGCAGCAAAUUGCUUCUGUGAAAUCUUUCUGCUGUUUGGGAGGUAUCCUUCUAUAGCACAGAAACGGAAACUUCAGCCAGAAGAGAGGAAUUCAGUGACUCCAUGCCAACAGAAACAGAGCUCUGCAUUUGUUUCCUGAGCCUACUUGCACUUGGAAGGUUUCUUUCCUCACAAGAAACAUGUGUUACAGGAUAUAAAAGUGGCUUUCCGUUUGGGGUUAGAACCCGAAACAGAAAGACAACAGAGAAAAAUUUCAGCUCAGCCUUUCUAGAUUGGAAAUGAUGCAUGAAUGUUGUUGUUUCUCCAAGACUUCAGCACAGGUAUAACAUGGUGCUAAUUUAAUCACCCGGUGAAUCACCUUUUCUCUGUGAGAUGUUAACACUGAUGUAAGAUGUUUCCAUGUGAGGAACGGGAAAGACUUGAGACACAAAAAAGCUUCAAGGAUUGGUAAAUAGAAUAAUGUGGUCUGUACCCCACUAAUUUUUCUUGCCAUCCAUGAGAGGCCCGAUGGGCUGCAGCAAUGCAUCAUUUAGAUCGCCCCUUCAGCUGGUUCAUGGAAAACUAACAAAAAUUGAUGUUGUUAUCUGGGGUUUUCGUGUGUGAUUUGUCUCACUCUUUACAUUCAUUAUGGGUUUUGCCCUUCUUUAAUAAAAUGGCCUGAUAUUGCCU